ensembl:lncRNA
GUUGAAAAUGUUUAAUGCUAAAUGGUUGAAAAAGGUUAAUAAACUUUUAAAUUAUUUAUAUUAAAUUAAUAUUAUUAUUAUUAUUAUUAUUUUAAUAGCAUUUUACAAUAUUUUAAUCAUGAUACCUAUUCUAAAAUCUAAAGGUAUAUGUUCUCAUCAUUAACAACAAUAAAACUAAAUACAUUUAGCUCCUUUAUCACACUGAAACAAUUCCUACUGGUUGUUUUACUUUAUUGCUUUGAUCAUGAUUGGUUAAUCUGGCUGUCAUCCAGGAAACUGGACAGUGAAUCGGUUCGCGCCUUUCUACAUUUGAAAAUAUGACCGUUAUUAUCGUUCUUUCUGUGAGUGAGUCGGCUGACUGUGAGCUGCUGCUAGUUGUAACUGCUCGGUCGGUCCCGAAUUAUUUUAUAUUUGCCUGUUAAUUUUUUUUUUUUUUUUGAGCGAAUUUGAGUCGUGACAUGUCAAUGGAGAACAAAAACUGUAAUGUGAACACAAGAAGUGUCAGAUGUGUUCUGCGAGGUCCUGCAAACAUACUGGCAAAUUGAGAGUCAUCAAGGAUCCAGCUUAUUAUUGAAAUAUUGGACAGUACAGAAAGCACACAAGUGGGAGAGAGUGGAGGGGACGGCAUCAGAAAGGACCUAGGGCUGGGACUCUUUCAAGGAUCACCUGAAGCACAACCACACUAUAUGCACGAGGCUGUUGGUUCUAACAUUUUAGGUUCCCCUUCGGUAGAAAUCACAUUCCGCGUUCCCUGCGGUAAAAAAAGACACAGUCCGGGGGGGUUCCGUUAGAAAUGCCCCCCCCUCGGGGUGCCCCCUCUAACGCUGGUUCCUUGGAAUUGUCCUAACCUUCCCUGCCCUUACAGCGUCCCUGGUUGCCGGUUCCAUUCUCGGAUUGUUCAACACAUUUUCACUGCACAAAUGUACACAUCUCUUGUAAUGAGACACAUUACUAAAACAUGUUUUUUACAGAAACUGUAGUUUUCCACCAAAAUAAAAGAUCAGCUGGUUUCAGUCAUAAAGGUACAAGGGUUUCUCUUGCAAGUGCCACACAAAAUAUGCAUUUAUAUGCAAAAAUAUGCCAAAUUAUUUUACAAAAACCUUUAAAUAUUAUUGUAUUUGAAUUGUUCUUCUACGUGUUUUUAACA